GGGGCUGUAACGGUUUCGACAGGUUGGCGAACGUCACAACGUGAUUCAGGUCGAGAGGGAGUCCACUCUCGUAAAUAUCGGCUCAAAACACAGUACAUGCGAACAACAUUGUACCCUUCGCUCGUAAAGCAGUCACUGCCUAAAAACCCCUAGCGGUUCGAGCGUCUACGAUUUGACACCGUUAAGGAUCGUAGAACAACCCCAACGGUUGCUCUAGACGAUCGCCUCAAGUCGGUUUUCUAGCUAAGACAAUACUUGAGAAUCCUCCCGUUCGGGAUAAUGAACGGUUCCCGCUUCGAGGACUAGAGAAGCUAAACCUGUGAAUGAGCGGUGUGCUAAUACCCAGUUUGGACACGGGUUCGACUCCCGUCAGCUCCACUA
rnacentral:tmRNA from 2 species